CAGGGAGUAGUUUAAGUGAGUUUAGAAAAUAUCAGCUUUGGAGGUUGAUGAUGAGAGUUUCUUUUCCUUGA
rnacentral:tRNA from 1 species